AACGAACGCUGGCGGCAGGCUUAACACAUGCAAGUCGAGCGCCCCGCAAGGGGAGCGGCAGACGGGUGAGUAACGCGUGGGAACGUACCUUUUGGUUCGGAACAACUCCGGGAAACUGGAGCUAAUACCGGAUAAGCCCUAACGGGGAAAGAUUUAUCGCCGAAAGAUCGGCCCGCGUCUGAUUAGCUAGUUGGUGAGGUAACGGCUCACCAAGGCGACGAUCAGUAGCUGGUCUGAGAGGAUGAUCAGCCACACUGGGACUGAGACACGGCCCAGACUCCUACGGGAGGAAGCAGUGGGGAAUAUUGGACAAUGGGCGCAAGCCUGAUCAAGCCAUGCCGCGUGAGUGAUGAAGGCCUUAGGGUUGUAAAGCUCUUUUGUCCGGGAAGAUAAUGACUGUACCGGAAGAAUAAGCCCCGGCUAACUUCGUG
rnacentral:rRNA from 1 species